rnacentral:lncRNA from 1 species
UCCUCCUUACAACAAAGCAAGCUAAAAAUAAACCCAAGUCUCCAAAAGGGAGAACAAACAGAGAACAACAGCAGCAAUGGUUUAGGAUCAUUGAAACGACCGCGGAACCAAACAAACUUCAAUUAUCCAAAUCGAAAUGCCUAAUCAUUCAUAAUAGACAGCGGGACCAGCUUAAAUGAUGAAAAAUAAAUCUAACACACGAAGCAUUCAUAACACCUAAUUAAGCAGAAUAAACAAACAACUCAAUAAUCAGUCACAAGAAUCAAUCAGUAUAUAAUGUCGAUGAAAUAAGGAAACGAUGUCGAGAAAUGGACCUUUUAACAUCUAAAUAUUCUUCGCGCAACAUGAACAGAGAUCUGUCGGACAUUGCGUGAAGUAACCACGACCGGAAACGACACCUAAAACUUCGACGGAGCCUCGAACCUCGACUGGUCCUCAAACUCUAACAUCACAACCUCCUCAUGUAUCGGUUUGGGACUGGUUUUAGGUUGAGGUAGCAACAGAUGAGAGAUGGGAGGCCAUUUUUUUGAGAUUUUCUGCCGUGCUGUUAUGUGUGUAUGUACUACUGUUUCCGGCGAGUUGUGGUCAAGGGCAUAUAAUUUCAGUUCAAACACAUGAGUUUAUGCAUGCAUCGUGCUCUAGAUCUGCUCGUUUUGAGCCUAAUGGUGAAGCUUUUUCAGAAUCGCGCCGUUAACGGUGAUACGCCGGCUAUUAUGGUGGUGGGACGGGUCGCUCUUUGGUCAACAGAGACGAGAAGGAGCAGAACGGCGUUAUGCUGCUUAAUUUGGGUGAAGAUGAAAGCAGAGCGGAGAGGGAGCGUUUGGGUGGGGACGACGAAAUACGGGGGUAUGGGUCUUUCUCAGAACUGCGGCGCUCCUCCCCGCGUGGCGUAGAUAAUGGUUUUAUAGAGUGUAUGUAUAGGGUGUUAUGUGGGGCAGUUUUAUUUGAGUCAAGGUAUUUAUGUGAGGUAAUAUUUUGGGGAAAGGUUUUAGGUAGAGGAAUAUUUUGGGGAAGGUCUUAGGUG